UACGAAGGGGGCUAGCGUUGCUCGGAAUCACUGGGCGUAAAGGGUGCGUAGGCGGGUCUUUAAGUCAGGGGUGAAAUCCUGGAGCUCAACUCCAGAACUGCCUUUUGAUACUGAAGAUCUUGAGUUCGGGAGAGGUGAGUGGAACUGCGAGUGUAGAGGUGAAAUUCGUAGAUAUUCGCAAGAACACCAGUGGCGAAGGCGGCUCACUGGCCCGAUACUGACGCUGAGGCACGAAAGCGUGGGAGCAA
rnacentral:rRNA from 1 species